AACGUAGGAGACAAACGUUAUCCGGAGUUACUGGGCGUAAAGGGCUCGUAGGCGGCCAACUAAGUCAGACGUGAAAUCCCCAGGCUCAACCUCGGAACUGCCUUUGAUACUGCAAAUCUCGAGUCCGGAAGAGGUGAGUGGAAUUCCUAGUGUAGAGGUGAAAUUCGUAGAUAUUAGGAAGAACACCAGUGGCGAAGGCGGCUCACUGGUCCGGUACUGACGCUGAGGUGCGAAAGCGUGGGGAGCAAACAGG
rnacentral:rRNA from 1 species